GUGUAUUGUGGAUAUAUUAUAGACUGUGUGGUGUAUUGUGUUCAUAGUGGAUAUGUUAUAGACUGUGUGGUGUAUUGUGUUCAUAGUGGAUAUGUUAUAGACUGUGUGGUGUAUUGUGUUCAUAGUGGAUAUAUUAUAGACUGUGUGGUGUAUUGUGUUCAUAGUGGAUAUGUUAUAGACUGUGUGGUGUAUUGUGUUCAUAGUGGAUAUGUUAUACUAUGAGGUGUAUUGUGUUCAUAGUGGAUAUGUUAUACUAUGUGGUGUAUUGUGUUCAUAGUGGAUAUGUUAUACUAUGAGGUGUAUUGUGUUCAUAGUGGAUAUGUUAUACUAUGUGGUGUAUUGUGUUCAUAGUGGAUAUGUUAUACUAUGAGGUGUAUUGUGUUCAUAGUGGAUAUGUUAUACUAUGAGGUGUGUUGUAGCUGUUUGCAGGCAGAAUGUUUCAGUGGUUCUAGUCUGGUACUGAAACUCUCCUCCUGGACUCUCAGCUUCU